rnacentral:rRNA from 1 species
CGGUGCUUGCACUGGGGAUUAGUGGCGAACGGGUGAGUAACACGUGAGUAACCUGCCCUUAACUCUGGGAUAAGCCUUGGAAACGAGGUCUAAUACUGGAUAUUGACUUUUCCUCGCAUGGGGAUUGGUUGAAAGAUUUAUUGGUUUUGGAUGGACUCGCGGCCUAUCAGCUUGUUGGUGAGGUAAUGGCUCACCAAGGCGACGACGGGUAGCCGGCCUGAGAGGGUGACCGGCCACACUGGGACUGAGACACGGCCCAGACUCCUACGGGAGGCAGCAGUGGGGAAUAUUGCACAAUGGGCGAAAGCCUGAUGCAGCGACGCCGCGUGAGGGAUGACGGCCUUCGGGUUGUAAACCUCUUUCAGUAGGGAACAAGGCCAGACGUUGUCUGGUUGAGGGUACUUGCAGAAGAAGCGCCGGCUAACUACGUGCCAGCAGCCGCGGUAAUACGUAGGGCGCAAGCGUUAUCCGGAAUUAUUGGGCGUAAAGAGCUCGUAGGCGGUUUGUCGCGUCUGCCGUGAAAGUCCGGGGCUCAACUCCGGAUCUGCGGUGGGUACGGGCAGACUAGAGUGAUGUAGGGGAGACUGGAAUUCCUGGUGUAGCGGUGAAAUGCGCAGAUAUCAGGAGGAACACCGAUGGCGAAGGCAGGUCUCUGGGCAUUAACUGACGCUGAGGAGCGAAAGCAUGGGGAGCGAACAGGAUUAGAUACCCUGGUAGUCCAUGCCGUAAACGUUGGGCACUAGGUGUGGGGGACAUUCCACGUUUUCCGCGCCGUAGCUAACGCAUUAAGUGCCCCGCCUGGGGAGUACGGCCGCAAGGCUAAAACUCAAAGGAAUUGACGGGGGCCCGCACAAGCGGCGGAGCAUGCGGAUUAAUUCGAUGCAACGCGAAGAACCUUACCAAGGCUUGACAUGAACUGGAAACGCUUGGAAACAAGUGCCCCGCUUGCGGUCGGUUUACAGGUGGUGCAUGGUUGUCGUCAGCUCGUGUCGUGAGAUGUUGGGUUUAAGUCCCGCAACGAGCGCAACCCUCGUUCUAUGUUGCCAGCACGUAAUGGUGGGGACUCAUAGGAGACUGCCGGGGUCAACUCGGAGGAAGGUGAGGACGACGUCAAAUCAUCAUGCCCCUUAUGUCUUGGGCUUCACGCAUGCUACAAUGGCCGGUACAAUGGGUUGCGAUACUGUGAGGUGGAGCUAAUCCCAAAAAGCCGGUCUCAGUUCGGAUUGGGGUCUGCAACUCGACCCCAUGAAGUCGGAGUCGCUAGUAAUCGCAGAUCAGCAACGCUGCGGUGAAUACGUUCCCGGGCCUUGUACACACCGCCCGUCAAGUCACGAAAGUUGGUA